GGGAUGAACGCUGGCGGUCUGCUUAACACAUGCAAGUCGAACGGGCGUAGCAAUACGUUAGUGGCGGACGGGUGAGUAACGCGUGAGAAUCUACCUUCAGGACGGAGACAACAGUUGGAAACGACUGCUAACCCCCGAUGUACCGAAAGGGCAAAUAUUUAUAGCCUGAAGAAGAGCUCGCGUCCGAUUAGCUAGUUGGAGAGGUAAAAGCUCACCAAGGCGACGAUCGGUAGCUGGUCUGAGAGGACGAUCAGCCACACUGGGACUGAGACACGGCCCAGACUCCUACGGGAGGCAGCAGUGGGGAAUUUCCGCAAUGGGCGAAAGCCUGACGGAGCAAGACCGCGUGGGGGAAGAAGGCUCUUGGGUUGUAAACCCCUUUUCUCUGGGAAGAACGCAAUGACGGUACCAGAGGAAUCAGCAUCGGCUAACUCCGUGCCAGCAGCCGC
rnacentral:rRNA from 1 species